GUGACUGCCGCACUAAUGUUGCAGAUGAUGACUGUGGAUUGCUAAUUGUUGGAUGAUUAACUGGGGAAAUGACUGGACAAGUGAAUACGCCUAUGGCUAGAAGAAAAGCCAUCUUGUCACACAGCUGACAACUGGACAAGGAAAGAAUUUCCUGUUGAAAUAGACCAGCAAUAAAAUAAUGGUAUCAAACAGCAAAGAAGAACUGACGAAAAACUAUAAAGAAAGAAGAUAUACUUUGACUAAAACUAGUCAAACCUUUUGCUGCGUGCCAAAUUAUUUUAACAUAUUAAAGUGCAUUCAAGCAUCAUGGGGGAACGGAAAAAUUGGCUCAUGAUGCCACAAUUCUUGAUUGCAAGGAAACAUCACACUCAAUUCCAGACACAGAACCAAGAACUUGUUUUAGAUAACUGUAAAGGAGAA